UACAGAGGGUGCGAGCGUUAAUCGGAAUUACUGGGCGUAAAGCGCACGUAGUCGGCUUUGCAAGUCGGGUGUGAAAUCCCCGGGCUCAACCUGGGAACUGCAUCCGAGACUGCAUUGCUAGAGUAUGGGAGAGGGAAGCGGAAUUUCUGGUGUAGCAGUGAAAUGCGUAGAUAUCAGAAGGAACAUCAGUGGCGAAGGCGGCUUCCUGGACCAAUACUGACGAUCAGGUGGCGAAAGCGUGGGGGAGCAAACAGG
rnacentral:rRNA from 1 species